rnacentral:lncRNA from 1 species
GCCCCGCCUUCCGAGCCCGCCGCCGAUGAGAAGGCCCCGGCGGCCGGCGCCCCCGCGAAGAAGGGCGCGAAGGCCGCCAAGGAGGCGAAGCCGAAGAAGGCUCCGGCACCGAAGAAGCCCCGCGCUCCUCCCUCCCAUCCUCCCUAUUUUGAGGUAAGAUUGCUCGAGAUCUGGAUUUCUGCGGUUGAUUUUUGCCGAUUCCGGGAGAAUCCGGCGGCGGAUCUGUUCUGAUCGGUUUCUGGUUGGCCGGUUUGCAGAUGAUCACCGAGGCGGUCUCCACCCUGAAGGAGAGGACGGGGUCCAGCCAGUACGCCAUCACCAAGUUCAUCGAGGACAAGCACAAGGGCCACCUCCCUCCCAACUUCAAGAAGCUCCUCCUCGCUCAGCUGAAGAAGCUCACCGCCGCCGGCAAGCUGACCAAAGUGAAAAACUCCUACAAGCUUCCUCCCGCCAACCCGCCCCGUCCCAAGGUUGCUGCUCCUCCUCCGCCUCCCGUCAAGCCGAAGCCGAAGCCGAAGGCCAAGGCCGCCGCGGUGGCUGCGCCGAAGCCCAAGGCCCCCGUGAAGCCUAAGGCCGCCAAGCCGAAGACGACGGCGAAGCCGAAGGCCGCCAAGCCUAAGGUCGCCGCGAAGCCCAAGGCGGCGGCGCCUGCCGCCAAGCCGAAGACGGUGGCGAAGCCGAAGGCAGCCGCUGCUAAGCCCAAGGCUGCGGCACCAGCCGCCAAGUCCAAGGCCCCGGCGAAGCCCAAGCCGAAGCCCAAGGCGCGGCCGACGAAGGUCGCCAAGACCUCGGCCAAGGACAGCCCCGCCAAGAAGGCCGCCGCCCCGAAGGCCGCCGCCUCUACGGUGAAGAAGCCCGCCGCGG